UCAUGGCUCAGGAUGAACGCUGGCGGCGUGCUUAACACAUGCAAGUCGAACGGAGUUAUGGAGAGAGAGUGAGGUGCUUGCACCAAGUGAUCAUUUCAUAACUUAGUGGCGGACGGGUGAGUAACGCGUGGGUAACCUGCCAUAUACAGGGGGAUAACACUUAGAAAUAGGUGCUAAAACCGCAUAAGCGCACAGCUUCGCAUGAAGCAGUGUGAAAAACUCCGGUGGUAUAUGAUGGACCCGCGUCUGAUUAGCCAGUUGGCAGGGUAACGGCCUACCAAAGCGACGAUCAGUAGCCGGCCUGAGAGGGUGAACGGCCACAUUGGGACUGAGACACGGCCCAAACUCCUACGGGAGGCAGCAGUGGGGAAUAUUGCACAAUGGGGGAAACCCUGAUGCAGCGACGCCGCGUGAGUGAAGAAGUAUUUCGGUAUGUAAAGCUCUAUCAGCAGGGAAGAAAAUGACGGUACCUGAGUAAGAAGCCCCGGCUAACUACGUGCCAGCAGCCGCGGUAAUACGUAGGGGGCAAGCGUUAUCCGGAUUUACUGGGUGUAAAGGGAGCGUAGACGGCGAGACAAGUCUGAAGUGAAAACCCGGGGCUCAACCCUGGGACUGCUUUGGAAACUGCCUGGCUGGAGUGCAGGAGAGGUAAGUGGAAUUCCUAGUGUAGCGGUGAAAUGCGUAGAUAUUAGGAGGAACACCAGUGGCGAAGGCGGCUUACUGGACUGUAACUGACGUUGAGGCUCGAAAGCGUGGGGAGCAAACAGGAUUAGAUACCCUGGUAGUCCACGCCGUAAACGAUGAUCACUAGGUGUUGGGGGCCUAUAGGCCUUCGGUGCCGUCGCAAACGCAAUAAGUGAUCCACCUGGGGAGUACGUUCGCAAGA
rnacentral:rRNA from 1 species